ACUUUGUACAGAAGAAAUUAAACAUGUACACUGGCAGAAAACGCCUAGGGUUUUAAGUUUUCAUCAAUCUCCAAUUCAACCAAAUCUGAAAAUCUAAGGCAAGAUGUUUGCAGGGAUGUAUGGCAAACCAGACAAGAAAGCAGCUUUAAAGCAGCUUCGGACCCAUGCAGCUAUGUUCGGGGCAUGGGUCGUGGCUAUUCGGGUCACGCCUUAUGUUCUUCAUUAUUUCUCUCAUCAAGAUCAACAGCUCUCUCUUGACUUCUAAUUUCAUCACCUACAAGGGAAUGGAUAUUUUGCUAUUAAUUUCUCCGUUACAAGCAGUUCAACGAAGAGGAGCAGAAUUGCAUGGAUGGAUUAUGUGUCACUCCAUAUAUUUUAGUUAUGUUUUUAUGAACUUUAAUUUUGCUGAUAUUUAUGGUUGACACAAUCAUGUAGUUAAAUCGUUAUCAGAUUCGUUUUGUUGUGUUGAAUAAUAGAUACAAUUACCUUGAAUGCUUAUUUCUUAUACUCUAUAAGCUCCUGUUUUGCACUA